rnacentral:rRNA from 1 species
GACGUAGGGCGCGAGCGUUGUCCGGAUUUAUUGGGCGUAAAGAGCUCGUAGGCGGCCUGUCGCGUCGACUGUGAAAACUCGGGGCUCAACUCCGAGCUUGCAGUCGAUACGGGCAGGCUAGAGUUCGGUAGGGGAGACUGGAAUUCCUGGUGUAGCGGUGAAAUGCGCAGAUAUCAGGAGGAACACCGGUGGCGAAGGCGGAUCUCUGGGCCAUUACUGACGCUGAGGAGCGAAAGCGUGGGGAGCGAACAGG